rnacentral:rRNA from 1 species
AGGGCGCGUAGGCGGAUUAUCAAGUCUCUUGUGAAAUCUAAUGGCUUAACCAUUAAACUGCUUGGGAAACUGAUAGUCUAGAGUGAGGGAGAGGCAGAUGGAAUUGGUGGUGUAGGGGUAAAAUCCGUAGAUAUCACCAAGAAUACCCAUUGCGAAGGCGAUCUGCUGGAACUCAACUGACGCUAAGGCGCGAAAGCGUGGGGAGCAAACAGGAUUAGAUACCCUGGUAGUCCACGCCCUAAACGAUGUACACUAGUUGUUGGGAUGCUAGUCAUCUCAGUAAUGCAGCUAACGCAUUAAGUGUACCGCCUGGGGAGUACGGUCGCAAGAUUAAAACUCAAAGGAAUAGACGGGGACCCGCACAAGCGGUGGAGCAUGUGGUUUAAUUCGAAGAUACGCGAAGAACCUUACCUGGGCUUGAUAUCCUAAGAACCUUAUAGAGAUAUGAGGGUGCUAGCUUGCUAGAACUUAGAGACAGGUGCUGCACGGCUGUCGUCAGCUCGUGUCGUGAGAUGUUGGGUUAAGUCCCGCAACGAGCGCAACCCACGUAUUUAGUUGCUAACGGUUCGGCCGAGCACUCUAAAUAGACUGCCUUCGUAAGGAGGAGGAAGGUGUGGACGACGUCAAGUCAUCAUGGCCCUUAUGCCCAGGGCGACACACGUGCUACAAUGGCAUAUACAAUGAGACGCAAUACCGCGAGGUGGAGCAAAUCUAUAAAAUAUGUCCCAGUUCGGAUUGUUCUCUGCAACUCGAGAGCAUGAAGCCGGAAUCGCUAGUAAUCGUAGAUCAGCCAUGCUACGGUGAAUACGUUCCCGGGUCU